rnacentral:rRNA from 1 species
GACUGCAUGAAGUCGGAAUCGCUAGUAAUCGCAGGUCAGAAUACUGCGGUGAAUACGUUCCCGGGUCUUGUACACACCGCCCGUCACACCAUGGGAGUGGGUUGCUCCAGAAGUAGAUAGCUUAACGAAUGGGCGUUUACCACGGAGUGAUUCAUGACUGGGGUGAAGUCGUAACAAGGUAGCCGUAGGGGAACCUGCGGCUGGAUCACCUCCUUAA